rfam:Photorhabdus luminescens subsp. laumondii TTO1 complete genome
GAAUUUUUGAUUAACACUUGCUGAAAAGCAGGUCAUUUGGAAG